rnacentral:lncRNA from 1 species
UCGCCUCAAGACCAACAACGUGCAAAAACAACAACCACAUAACACCCUUACUGUCAAAUCGAAAUCACCCCAACAACAAGAACCCACCAACCAAUAACUAACCAACAAAAUAAAUUGAAUAUAGACAUACUAGGGGGUCAAGACACCAAUCUGAAAACGAGAAGCAAGCUAAGGAAACUUUAGAAAUGACCCAAGACCAAGUCUUCAGUUGAGACAAAAAAAAAAAUCAGAGUGAUCCACCACACCGCCUUUGAAGAUGACUUUAUUCCUAUGGCACCAAAUCUUCCUUACCACAGCCAUCCACACACUUUCCAAAACUAAAUUAACAGAUUCAUAUGCAUUACAAAUAUUGAACUAUAGGAGAUGUGAGUAAGAAUCUUAAGGAGCAACUGACACCAACCUUAACCGUGCAAAGCAAAGAUUCCAAACAAGCCAAGAAAAUCUACACCCAAAAAAAAAAGUGGUUAGUAGACUCCUCUUUUAUCCCAAAAAAACAACAAAAAAUACUAUCAACCACAACUUUGUGUCUAGCCAAAUUAACUUUAGAAGCAAUCUUGUUUUCCAACACCCUCCAAGUUGUAACGUGGGUCGAGGGUAAAGCGUUAAUCCUCCAAAAGAAUUUGAACAUACGUGAGCUUUCCCUUUCCAUCUCUCCCCUUAAAAUACCAUAAGUUGAAUUAACCUAAAACUCAAGAGACUCACCAACGUGUCAAAUCCAACUGUCAUCGAAAGUCAAAAUCGGACUCGUACCUUGCACUACCUCAAGUAGUUGACAUACCUGAAGCUUCUCCCACUCAAAGAGGCCCCUUCUCCAAAUUAAAUUCUCCAACCAUACACUAUUAAUCCAAUCCCCACAAAGAUUCAACGAAAUAUCUUUAUCAACACUAAGGGAGUAAAGUCUAAAAAAUUUACUCUUCAGAGUAACAUUACCCACCCACCUGUCUUCCCAGAAAGAAAUAGUCUUCCCGUUACCAACUUCCCACUUAAGGCAGUCUUCAAAACUCCUACCCCACUCUUCCAACCUCCAAAACUCCUUCAAGUCCCUCAACUAGAGAGAUUCAUAGUUGUUCAUCUUAUGUUCUUUCAUAGAUCUCCAACCUCCAUGCUUAGACUCUAGAAUCUCCUUCCAUAAACCACCCUUAGUUGAACCAACUGCCAAAUCCAUUUUCCCAGCUAGGCCGUGUUAAGGACCUUAAUAUCAAUAGUACCAAGUCCUCUAACAUCACGAUACUCACACACUUUUCCCCAAGAAGUCAAGCAAUCUUCCUCCCAUCAGACCUCAAACCCCAAAGGAAGUCCCUCUGAAUUUUCACAAUCUUCUUUAACACAACUGAAUGUAUUUUGAAUAAGGGUAAGAAAAACAACGAAAAAAAAAAUAACGCUAAACCCUAAAGGAUCUAAAAAUAAGGCUACCAUUGUCUUUGCAUGGAAAAAAAUAUAUUUUCUCUACUUCUUAUUUAUAUAAGCACAAAAGAGUUUGAUAAGUUUAAACUAUCAUUCUUACGUGUCUUCAAUUCAACUAUAAUAAUCCAUUUCAAAUCAAACUUAAACUCAACAAAAUUCAAUCCUAACUAUUUAAAUUUAUGUCAUUUUGCACUUUUUCUAAAUCCAUAUAUCAUAUAAGUAAAUGUGCAAUUUCAAUUUACAAAUAUAAUAAAUCACACACCAAUAGAUACACGUACGAACUUAAAUCAUUUCAUAAUAUAUAUAUAUAUAUAUAUAUAUUAAUUGGCAAAAAAAACAAAUGAAAUAGUAUGAGGUAUUUCAGGGAUACCAAACCCUUAUACAGAGAACUGACUAAGAUACUCAUCUUCAAACAACCUGGCAACAAUUGGAUAACCAACAAGACACACUCAAAAGAUUGUACAUACCUAUCUCCUAGAUACUUUGACUGACUUCAUACAAGUCAAGGGCUCAAGACACCAAUCUGAAUACGAAAAAUUUACACCAUGCGCUUUAGACAAAACCCAUGACCAAGCCUUCAUUUAUGCCAUGGUAAAAAUUUCGAAAUGAUUUAACCUUCCACCUCUGAAGAUCCUCAUAUUCCUGUGAUACCACAAUUCUCCUACAACAGCUAUCCACACACCUCCCCAUAUCUGAUUAACACUUUCCUUAACCCCAUUCAACCUAAAACCUUCAUAAUGUUUCUUUGGCUCCUUAUGAUUCGUCACUGCCAUCCCUAUCCACUCGUAGCACUUAGCCCACAUGAGCCAGACAACUUUUCAAGUACAAAAAAGAUGGGACGUGGUUUCCUCCUCCUCCUGCACAGACAACACGUAAUAGUAGUCAUACCUAUCCCCCUUCUAACCAAGUUUGCUUUAGACGUUAUUUUGUCUUCCAGAACCUUCCAAGUUGUGAGAUGUGAAGACGGGUUUGCCUUCAUUCUUCAGGACUCCCCAAACAUCUCACUAUCCUGCCCCUGAACUCUUUGUUUGAGGAUAUUGUAUGCGGACUUGACCGUGAACGUUGUUGUCUCUUUACCUUUCCAAACCCAAGAAUCUUCCUUAUCCAUCACAAACCUCUUUUCCCCCAUCACUUGCAUCAGUUGUUGUUCUUGUUCCUGUUCCACUCAAAAAUAUUCCUCCUCCAUUUGAUCUUCAAAGUCCACUCUAAAUUCUGUGUCCUCUCCCCCGCCUAUCGAAUAGUCGAAACCUUAUUUGAACAGAUAGAGAAGAGUCUUGGGAAAGUGUCUUUGAGAUUCGAGUUGCCAGUCUAUCUGUCCUCCCAUAGCCUUAUCUCCUUCCCAUUCCCCACCUCCCAGGAAAAGGUAUCCUCAAAAUUUCCUUUCCACUCUUCAGAAGACCAAACCUCCUUCAAAUCCCUCCACCAAAGAGAAUGAGUGUUACUUUUCCUUUGGCUCCUAGGAUCCCUCCAUCCUCCGUAUUUUGAGUCCAGAACUUCUUUCCACAAACCCUUCUUUUCACUACCUAAACGCCAUAUCCAUUUUCCCAACAAGGUAACGUUGAAUCGCCUCAAGUCGAUCAUUAUGAGUCCUCCUUCCUCUUUUGACUCAUACACCUUCUUCCACGAUAUAUAGAUGUGUAUAUAUAUAUAUAUAUAUAUAUAUAUAUAUUCAUUUAUUGUUUUAGUAUUCAUACCUAGAAAUUAUAUGCUUACUCUUCCCACAAGUAACAUUUUUAUGAUUUGUUCUUAUGAAGUGACCUUCUAUAAAUAUUCCGCCAGAAAAUUGAAAUUGCCAUGCAAAUCAGUUCCAAAUUUUCUGGUGAUUAUUUAAUCCGUAAUUGUAAACGAAGAUGAUUUCUGGAAGUGCAAAGCAAAAGAGAAAAAAAUCAUGUUCUAACUGUUAAAAAUGAUAGUAGAUUUACGUCGUUAUUUCGCAUUUUGUUGCAUUGUUUAGUUAACAAAAGUAUUUGACAACUCAGAACAAAAAGCUAAAGCAACUAAGCUAUUAUAUAUAUUAUAUAACCUAAUACAAAUUGAAAUACAUUAAUGAUAGAAGCAUACCGAUAGUUGCAGCGUGUAUUCUAAGCUCCGAAUGAAGUCAACGG